CUACUACUCCCUCCGUCCGAAAAUACUUGUCAUUGAAAUGGAUGUAUUUAGAUGUAUUUUAGUUCUAGACACAUCCAUUUUGAUGACAAGUAAUUCCGGACGGAGGGAGUAUUAU
rnacentral:pre_miRNA from 1 species